AAGUCGUAACAAGGUAACCGUAGGUGAACCUGCGGUUGGAUCAUUAAAAAAUAACAAUAGCCUGUCAUGGCCAGGUGCUCCCGGAAUGUUUGGAAAGUCAAACAUUGCGGACCCGCGCGCCGUGAUUCGUGGCACCACAUUUUGUGAACUGUUCUGUCUUUGGUGGUGGGGUGAAACGCUUUUUUCGGCCUUCGCCUGUCAGCUCUGAUGUAAAGGUCUGAGCCGUGGACAAGCCACCGACCAUGUGUUUAAACCUAUGUUUUUGUUUUUUUGUCUGACAUUUUUACUUUGUAUUUUAAUAUACAAACAACUUUUGGCAACGGAUCUCUUGGGUCUC
rnacentral:misc_RNA from 1 species